rnacentral:rRNA from 1 species
CAGCCGCCGCGGUAAUACGGAGGGUGCAAGCGUUAAUCGGAAUUACUGGGCGUAAAGCGUGCGUAGGCGGUUCGUUAAGUCUGUUGUGAAAGCCCCGGGCUCAACCUGGGAAUGGCAAUGGAUACUGGCAAGCUAGAGUGUGUCAGAGGAUGGUGGAAUUCCCGGUGUAGCGGUGAAAUGCGUAGAGAUCGGGAGGAACAUCAGUGGCGAAGGCGGCCAUCUGGGACAACACUGACGCUGAGGCACGAAAGCGUGGGGAGCAAACAGGAUUAGAUACCCCAGUAGUCCCUGUCUCUUAUAC